ACUAAUUCAUGGUCACUACAUGUGGGUUACCCUGGUAUUACUCUUUCAGUACAGACACAAACUAUUUUGCCACAAUUAAUGUUUUGGUCAACAAUGUGCAGACUUAAAGCCCUGAGUUAUAUGACUAGGCAAAUAAAACCAGACCACAAAAUUUGGUCUACCCUGGUUGGCUAUGAUUCACCCAUAUGGGCAAGCCAGCAGCAGGCUUGCUGCUAUCCCAACAACCCUAGGAAAAUCAGACUGUCAUAUUAUACUUCUUUGUCCCUUUAUACAGAUGCAGAGUCAGUCUGUUGAAAUUGUGGAGCUCAAAUAUUUAACUUGUGUAAUGCAGUGGAACAAUUUCAACAGGUAGAGAUUAGUCAAGUGUCCAAACUGAAAAACAUUCACACAUCACUUAGAGAAGUGUGAGGUUCUGGCCAUUAUCGCAGGAAGGGAGCAGCUUGGGAAUCCAUGAUAUUUACGGAUUCCAAAAAAUUAGUUAUAAUAGGUCUCUCAUUUUUUAGGAGGCUCAAACUGAAAACUGAAAAUUAUUGAUUUUAUGAAUAAAUAUAUUUUCUUAAAUGAUUUAGAAAGCUCUGUUUAUUCAUUUACCGACAGUGUUUAGAAUAUAUAGUAGCCAGUAUGUCUGCAGAUAUAUUUAUGUUGGACUGUUUGGCUUGGCUUCACCUCUGUAAUAAUUUAUAACAGUUUCAAUGUAAACCCACCACUGAACAGGUCAAGAAGGUCCCGGAUUUUAACCAUCGUCGUUGUAGAUAAACCCCCAGCACUGUUCCCACCACAGAGUUCCAGCUCAUCCCUCACUAUCAGGCCUGUGAAAAGUUUUCACUUAGGAAAGUUUAAAUGUUAAGGAAUUUUAAUUCAUUUUCUUGUUUCACAUCUUUGUGUUCCCUUUUAAAAGCAGGUUAUAUUUAGUUUUAAGAAAUAGAUCUUUAGAGACCCUAUUGAAUUAAAAAUUUUAUUUUCUCAUGAUUUUUAAAUUGAUGAAAAAGGCUAAUCUUUAUGCAUUUACUUAUGCUGCAUCUGAGUAAUUGACAGAUACUGGCCUUAAAAACUGAGAAAAUAACUGACUUUCAGACAUUCUCUUAAUAUGUGUCAUAUUCAGUCAGCUGAUGAGACUCAUCAGUGUUUGGACUAUAGUUUUGCUGUCAUUAAUUUUUCUGGAUUUUCUAGAUAUUUUAUAUUAGAUUUAUGUAUACUUCUAGAUAUAAUGUUGACAGACUCUUACUGUCAAAACAUCUUUAUUGUUAAUAUCUUAUAUUUCAGUUAUGAAAUCAGUAAAACUCCUUUAAUAAAAUUUAAAAAUGUUUGUUUUAACUACCCAUAUAAUAUAUGUAUUAUUUUGGCAAGUAGAAGAAAUAGUGUCUUUCCCAAGGAAGAAAAUCCAACUUUUUAAAUAGCUUACAAUAUGCAUUUGAGACAGAAUGAGCAUUUUAGAGGGAGAUUAAACUGGUAAGAAAGGACUACUUAGCAGUGAGCAAAAUGUAUAGAGUCCUGGAUCUUAUGGUGAAUAAUCCCUGUAAAAGAUGUUUCAUAAUUAGGAAACUUUUAUAUCACUAGUGUGUUGACAAACUGGUUGUCACACUCUGUUUAGGUAACAUUUAUUGUUCCUACAUUUGUUCAUCUACUUAUUCAAAAAAUAUUUAUUAGGCAUCUAUUCUAAAUUCUGGCAGUAUUUUCUUCUUGCAUGGUUUUGGAAAGUAGGCGUUGUUACCUCAGGAGAAUCGCUUGAACUGGGGAAGCAGAAGUUGCAGUGAGCCGAGACUGCACCACUGCACUCUAACCUGGGCAACAAAGUGAGACUCCAUCUCA
rnacentral:lncRNA from 1 species